AACGCACGAGACCUGCGGACCUGCGGAGGGAUCAUUACCGAAUGGCCUCUGGGCCUUCACAAACCCCAUCAAACCUGUGGACCUCUCAGAGAGAGCGUGCUUCGGCGUCCCCUCGGCUCUGCCCGAGGGACGCCGCCUUCAUGCAGAUAGAUCGUCUUGUCUGAUUUUGAAACCAUGAGAAUUUAAAACUUUCAGCAAUGGAUCUCU
rnacentral:misc_RNA from 1 species